rnacentral:lncRNA from 1 species
AAACAGUAGAAACAAGGUUGACUUUAUUCCAAACAUAAAACACUUAUUUUGUGUUAGAAGAGUUAUCCCUUGCCUAUCCAGGGUGACACCAGUGACUGCACAUGUGUUCUUGAGCUGCUUUUCCUCCGGCAAAGACUCAUGUCUCCUGUCUCUUUCUGUCUUGAAAGGAUAUGUUUGUCACUGAAGCUGCUCUCUGGGAUCAACGUCAGAGUUGCAUACUCUGGAAAAGAUCUUUGCAACUCUGGCCUAUAUGAAUCCAUAAGCCACAAACUUGACUUUUUGUACCCACCAUUUGUGGAACUAAAUUAUAUCAGUACAAAAAGGGCUACAUUCUAAAUAGUAAAAAAAUAUGCAAACUGAGGUAUAAAUAAGAUUAUAUUCUGUGUAUCAGUGACUCUAGAGGUUAAAAAUGACUGAGAAAAUAGACAGUUCUUCAGGAAAACACCUUCUUUGGACUCACACCAUGUGUUUUCCAUUCAAAUUAGUAAUGUUCAAUUUUUCCUGCAGUUGAACCAGCUAUUAGCUUUCUGGAGAGUCAAAAUUCUCUUCGUUUUAGGAUCAAAUUUGUAUUGUCUUGUUCCAUGAAAGAAAUAGAAAAAUCCU